rnacentral:rRNA from 1 species
AACGAACGCUGGCGGCAUGCCUAACACAUGCAAGUCGAACGAGACCUUCGGGUCUAGUGGCUCACGGGUGCGUAACGCGUGGGAACCUGCACUUAGGUUCGACCUAACUCCCCGAAAGGGGUGCUAAUACCGGAUAAUAUCUUCGGACCAAAGAUUUAUCGUCUUUGGAUGGGCCCGCGUUGAAUUAGCUAGUUGGUAACGUAAAAGCCUACCAAGGCGACGAUCCAUAGCUGGUCUGAGAGGAUGAUCAGCAACACUGGGACUGAGACACGGCCCAGACUCCUACGGGAGGCAGCAGUGGGGAAUAUUGGACAACGGGCGAAAGACUGAGCCAGCAAUGCCGCGUGAGUGAUGAAGGCCUGAGGGUUGUAAAGCUCUUUUACCCGGGAUGAUAAUGACAGUACCGGGAGAAUAAGCGCCGGCUAACUCCGUG